rnacentral:sRNA from 1 species
AAUCAUAAUCAUAAUAUUUUCUAUUUAAUAAAAUUUAUUUUGUAAUUUUCUGUAUUUAAUUUAUUGUGUCAUACUCCAAUAUAAUUCCGCAAUUGGAUCAGUAAAUUCGAUAAUCCUACGCUAAUCCACCCAAUGUUAAAAUCCGUUGGAUCAUACUCUAUGUUUUUGUAAUCUAUUUUGGAUCUAUACUCUAUGUUCUUGUUUUUUUAUAAAGAAAGAAAAUGAAUCAAAUACUGAAUGAGUUAAAACAAUAGCAGACAUACAUAUAAAAUAGUGUGCACAUUGAAGUGCUGCUAAAUUUUUUAAAAUCUUAAAUAUAUUGUAGAGAUUGUUAGGUUUAGGAGUCAAUUUUAAAUCUUCAAGAUAUGAAAAAUUCUUGCAAAUCAAGUUUAGUUCAAAAUAUAUGAAAAUUGUAUUCUAAAUUAUUGAAUGUAAAAUAUAGUGAAAAUGGUUUGCAUAUAUUUUAGGGAGAUUUACAAAACUACCAUUUUUUACUAUCCUUUUGCAACAGUACCCUUUUAUAUUGUUCAUUUUUAAAAAUAUCCCUUUCCUUGAACAGAAUGACCAAAUUACCCUUAUCUAAUAAGCACAUGUAAUUGGAAACUGAAAGUUUCCCGUCGAAUUUUUGGCGCCAAAAUUUAUUUUUCCCGCCAAAAAAAAA